rnacentral:rRNA from 1 species
AAAUUGAAGAGUUUGAUCAUGGCUCAGAUUGAACGCUGGCGGCAGGCCUAACACAUGCAAGUCGAGCGGCAGCGGGAAAGUAGCUUGCUACUUUUGCCGGCGAGCGGCGGACGGGUGAGUAAUGCCUGGGAAAUUGCCCAGUCGAGGGGGAUAACAGUUGGAAACGACUGCUAAUACCGCAUACGCCCUACGGGGGAAAGCAGGGGACCUUCGGGCCUUGCGCGAUUGGAUAUGCCCAGGUGGGAUUAGCUUGUUGGUGAGGUAAUGGCUCACCAAGGCGACGAUCCCUAGCUGGUCUGAGAGGAUGAUCAGCCACACUGGAACUGAGACACGGUCCAGACU